UACGUAGGUGGCAAGCGUUAUCCGGAAUUAUUGGGCGUAAAGCGCGCGUAGGCGGUUUCUUAAGUCUGAUGUGAAAGCCCACGGCUCAACCGUGGAGGGUCAUUGGAAACUGGGAAACUUGAGUGCAGGAGAGGAAAGUGGAAUUCCAUGUGUAGCGGUGAAAUGCGCAGAGAUAUGGAGGAACACCAGUGGCGAAGGCGGCUUUUUGGCCUGCAACUGACACUGAGGCGCGAAAGCGUGGGGAGCAAACAGG
rnacentral:rRNA from 1 species